AGCGAACGCUGGCGGCAGGCUUAACACAUGCAAGUCGAGCGGGCACUUCGGUGUCAGCGGCAGACGGGUGAGUAAAACGUGGGAACGUACCCUUUGGUUCGGAAUAACGCUGGGAAACUAGCGCUAAUACCGGAUACGCCCUUUUGGGGAAAGGCUUGCUGCCGAAGGAUCGGCCCGCGUCUGAUUAGCUAGUUGGUUGGGUAAUGGCCUACCAAGGCGACGAUCAGUAGCUGGUCUGAGAGGAUGAUCAGCCACACUGGGACUGAGACACGGCCCAGACUCCUACGGGAGGCAGCAGUGGGGAAUAUUGGACACUGGGCGCAAGCCUGAUCCAGCCAUGCCGCGUGAGUGAUUAAGGCCUUAGGGUUGUAAAGCUCUUUUGUCCGGGACGAUAAUGACGGUACCGGAAGAAUAAGCCCCGGCUAACUUCGUG
rnacentral:rRNA from 1 species